rnacentral:lncRNA from 1 species
AAAAACUAGGUAUGACUCCCAUACGUAAGUGUAAUGACUCAUUGCGUCAUUCACCAAAGGUUGAGACGACAGAUUGUCCAGUUCCUCCUAAAAGAAUGAGACGAGAAGCUACAAGACAAAAUAGAGAUGGGGUCUUGCUGUGUUGACCAGGCUGGUCUCAAGCUCCUGGGCUUAAGCUACUCUCCUGCCGCGGCCUCCCAAAGUACUGAGAUUACAGGCCUGAGUCACCAUGCUCGGCCCAACAUCCACAUGUUUAAAGCAAAACCUGUGGACCCAUGACGUUGAUUUGCCCUAUCCCAGUUAUAGUUACCAUCAAGUCCCACUCGGAGAAGAGACUUGUUGGUAAAACAGUUCUAUUUUUAUAAUAGUAGAAGAAAUUCCAGCUAGCAAUGUAAUCCUCUUUCUUAAAUGUAAUUGUACAACUAACAGUCAUCACACAUAUGAGGGUAGCCAGCAACGUGAGAGACAAAAUUCAAGAUUAAGUUCCAAAAUCAACAUGGAGGACAAUUUAGUAAAGAGACUAGACCUCUUUUAUAAAAUUAUAAUUACUAUGUAGCAGAAAGGAGCCAGGACAAGAAUGAAUAAACAGAUUACAAAUAUUGUUGCUGAAAUAAAAAUGUUCAAUAGGAGGAUUAAAGUCCAAAAAGAAAACUUCCCCAAUACAAAAAGAGAUAGAAGACAUAGAGAACCAAUUCAGACUAUUAGGAAUCUAGAAAGAAGAAAAUGGAGAAGGAAAUGCUAUCAUGUGGAAGAGGAUUUCCUAGGGAUGAAUAAAAUUCAUUGAAUGCCCAGCAACAGUGACUGACAAAAUACUCACUAAGAUACUUCAUAGUAAUACUGUAUCAUAUCAAGGAGAGGGAGAAAG